rnacentral:rRNA from 1 species
UACGUAGGGUGCGAGCGUUUGUCCGGAAUUAUUGGGCGUAAAGAGCUCGUAGGCGGUGUGUCGCGUCGGCCGUGAAAACCUGCAGCUUAACUGUGGGCUUGCGGUCGAUACGGGCAUCACUGGAGUUCGGCAGGGGAGACUGGAAUUCCUGGUGUAGCGGUGAAAUGCGCAGAUAUCAGGAAGAACACCCGUGGCGAAGGCGGCUCUCUGGGACGGUACUGACGCUGAGACGCGAAAGCGUGGGGAGCGAACAGG